UGUUGUGAAAUGUUGGGUUAAGUCCCGCAACGAGCGCAACCCUUAUCCUUUGUUGCCAGCGGUCCGGCCGGGAACUCAAAGGAGACUGCCAGUGAUAAACUGGAGGAAGGUGGGGAUGACGUCAAGUCAUCAUGGCCCUUACGACCAGGGCUACACACGUGCUACAAUGGCGCAUACAAAGAGAAGCGACCUCGCGAGAGCAAGCGGACCUCAUAAAGUGC
rnacentral:rRNA from 1 species